CGACAAGCUGUGGUCUAUCUUGGGUUAGUUAAACACAUCUUUGUUGAUAUCAUGUGAUGCCAGUCAAAGCCGAACAGGAGCGAACUUGGCACGCGUCAACCAAAAAAAGCACGGAAACCUGCAAUGACAUAGAUGCAUGACCUGCCUGGAUAUGAGCAGCAUGGAGAACAGUGCCAUCUAGUGAAAUGAAAAAUAAACUAUUAUUACAGAUCAUUUAAAUUAACAAUAUUGAACUCAUGUAUAUUGAAGACUGCAAAAGCAAUUUGUUUAAUACACAUUUCGAUGUCCCCUUAUUAAAAUAAUUACAUGUACCGAU